AUGAUCCCUCACCUAGAGCCAGACAUCCUGGAAUGUGAAGUCAAGGGGGCCUUAGAGAGCAUCACUAUGAACAAAGCUAGUGGAGGUGAUGGAAUUCCAGUUGAGCUAUUUCAAAUCCUGAAAGAUGAUGCUGUGAAGGUGCUGCACUCAAUAUGCCAGCAAAUUUGGAAAACUCAACAGUGGCCACAGGACUGGAAAAGGUCAGUUUUCAUUCCAAUCCCAAAGAAAGGCAAUGCCAAAGAAAGCUUAAACGACUGCACAAUUGCACUCAUCUCACAUGCUAGUAAAGUAAUGCUCAAAAUUCUCCAAGCCAGGCUUCAGCAAUAUGUGAACUGUAUUGCUGAUGUUGAAGCUGAUUUUAGAAAAGGUAGAGGAACCAGAGAUCAAAUUGCCAACAUCCGCUGGAUCAUGGAAAAAGCAAGAAAGUUCCAGAAAAACAUCUACUUCUGCUUUAUUGACUAUGCCAAAGCCUUUGACUGUGUGGGUCACAAUAAACUGUGGAAAAUUCUGAAGGAGAUGGGAAUACCAGACCACCUGACCUGCCUCUUGAGAAAUCUGUAUGCAGGUCAGGAAGCAACAGUUAGAACUGGACAUGGAAUAACAGACUGGUUCCAAAUAGGAAAAGGAGUACGUCAAGGCUGUAUAUUGUCACCCUGCUUAUAUAACUUCUAUGCAGAGUACAUCAUGAGAAACACUGGGCUGGAAGAAACACAAGCUGGAAUCAAGAUUGCCGGGAGAAAUAUCAAUAACCUCAGAUAUGCAGAUGACACCACCCUUAUGGCAGAAAGUGAAGAGGAACUAAAAAGCCUCUUGAUGAAAAUGAAAGAGGAGAGUGAAAAAGUUGGCUUAAAACUCAACAUUCAGAAAAUGAAGAUCAUGGCAUCCAGUCCCAUCACUUCAUGGGAAAUAGAUGGGGAAACAGUGGAAACAGUGUCAGAUGUUAUUUUUGGGGGCUCCAAAAUCACUGCAGAUGGUGACUGCAGCCAUGAAAUUAAAAGAUGCUUAGUCCUUGGAAGGAAAGUUAUGACCAACCUAGAGAGCAUACUCAAAAGCAGAGACAUUGCUUUACCAACAAAGGUCUGUCUAGUCAAGGCUAUGGUUUUUCCUGUGGUCAUGUAUGGAUGUGAGAGUUGGACUGUGAAGAAGGCUGAGUGCCGAAGAAUUGAUGCUUUUGAACUGUGGUGUUGCAGAAGACUCUUGAGAGCCCCUUGGACUGCAAGGAGAUCCAACCAGUCCAUUCUGAAGGAGAUCAACCCUGGGAUUUCUUUGGAAGGAAUGAUGCUAAAGCUGAAGCUCCAGUACUUUGGCCACCUCAUGUGA
rnacentral:lncRNA from 1 species